CCUACGGGAGGCAGCAGUGAGGAAUAUUGGUCAAUGGACGAGAGUCUGAACCAGCCAAGUAGCGUGAAGGAUGACUGCCCUAUGGGUUGUAAACUUCUUUUAUAAAGGAAUAAAACGCGGCACGUGUGCCUUUUUGCAUGUACUUUAUGAAUAAGGAUCGGCUAACCCCGUGCCAGCAGCCGCGGUAAUACGGAGGAUCCGAGCGUUAUCCGGGUUUAUUGGGUUUAAAGGGAGCGUAGAUGGGUAGUUAAGUCAGUUGUGAAAGUUUGCGGCUCAACCGUCAAAUUGCAAUUGAUACUGGCAGUCUUGAGUACAGUAGAGGUAGGCGGAAUGCGUGGUGUAGCGGUGAAAUGCUUAGAUAUCACGAAGAACCCCGAUUGCGAAGGCAGCAUACUAAACUGUGACUGACAUUGAUGCACGAAAGUGUGGGUAUCAAACAGGAUUAGAUACCCUUGUAGUC
rnacentral:rRNA from 1 species